rnacentral:rRNA from 1 species
UCAGGACUAACGCYGGCGGCAUGCAUCAUACAUGCAAGUCGAACGGGAAGUUUUGUAGCAAUACAGAGCUUCUAGUGGCGAACGGGUGAGUAACACGUAGGUAACCUGCCCUAGUGACCGGGAUAACGCGCCGAAAGGUGCGCUAAUACCGGAUGUGACCCCGACCUGGCAUCAGGAAGAGGUAAAAGGAGCGGCCGCAAGGCUGUCGCACUGGGAUGGGCCUGCGGGCUAUCAGCUAGUUGGUGGGGUAACGGCCUACCAAGGCUAUGACGGCUAGCCGGCUUGAGAGAGUGAACGGCCACACUGGAACUGAGACACGGUCCAGACUCCUACGGGAGGCAGCAGUAGGGAAUCUUCCGCAAUGGGCGCAAGCCUGACGGAGCAAUGCCGCGUGAACGAUGAAGGCCUUCGGGUCGUAAAGUUCUGUUGUGGGGGAAGAAAUCGCGUCACAUUAAUACGGUGACGUGUUUGACGGUACUCCACGAGGAAGCCCCGGCUAAUUACGUGCCAGCAGCCGCGGUAAUACGUAAGGGGCAAGCGUUGUCCGGAAUCACUGGGCGUAAAGCGCACGUAGGCGGUUUAGCAAGUUGGGGGUGUAAGCUCUAGGCUUAACCUAGAAAUUGCCUCCAAAACUACUUCACUUGAGUAUUAGAGGGGAAGCUGGAAUUCACGGUGUAGCGGUGAAAUGCGUAGAUAUCGUGGAGAACACCCGUGGCGAAGGCGGGCUUCUGGCUAAUUACUGACGCUGAGGUGCGAAAGCUAGGGGAGCGAACGGGAUUAGAUACCCCGGUAGUCCUAGCCGUAAACGAUGAGUACUAGGUGUGGGGAUUAACAUCUCCGUGCCGACGCCAACGCAUUAAGUACUCCGCCUGGGGACUACGGCCGCAAGGUUAAAACUCAAAUGAAUUGACGGGG